GAUGAACGCUGGCGGCGUGCCUAAUACAUGCAAGUCGAGCGAACGGACGAGAAGCUUGCUUUUCUGAUGUUAGCGGCGGACGGGUGAGUAACACGUGGAUAACCUACCUAUAAGACUGGGAUAACUUCGGGAAACCGGAGUUAAUACCGGAUAAUAUUUUGAACCGCAUGGUUCAAAAGUGAAAGACGGUCUUGCUGUCACUUAUAGAUGGAUCCGCGCUGCAUUAGCUAGUUGGUAAGGUAACGGCUUACCAAGGCAACGAUGCAUAGCCGACCUGAGAGGGUGAUCGGCCACACUGGAACUGAGACACGGUCCAGACUCCUACGGGAGGCAGCAGUAGGGAAUCUUCCGCAAUGGGCGAAAGCCUGACGGAGCAACGCCGCGUGAGUGAUGAAGGUCUUCGGAUCGUAAAACUCUGUUAUUAGGGAAGAACAUAUGUGUAAGUAACUGUGCACAUCUUGUCGGUACCUAAUCAGAAAGCCACGGCUAACUACGUG
rnacentral:rRNA from 1 species